rnacentral:tRNA from 1 species
UGGGCUGAUGGUCUAGUGGUAUGAUAUUUGCUUUGCAGUAUUCACUACAAAUUUGUAAAUGGUCGGGGGUUCGAUCCCCUCUCAGUCCAA